AAUCAACGCUGGCGGCGUGCCUAACACAUGCAAGUCGAGCGCGAAAGGGGAGCAAUCCCCAAGUAGAGCGGCGAACGGGUGAGUAACGCGUGGGUAAUCUGCCUCCGAGUGGGGAACAACAUCGGGAAACUGGUGCUAAUACCGCAUAACAUCGUCGGGUUUUCGGAUCUGACGAUCAAAGCCGGGGACCGCAAGGCCUGGCGCUUGGAGAGGAGCCCGCGUCCGAUUAGCUAGUGGUGGGGUAAUGGCCCACCAAGGCUUCGAUCGGUAGCCGGCCUGAGAGGGCGGACGGCCACACUGGGACUGAGACACGGCCCAGACUCCUACGGGAGGCAGCAGUGGGGAAUUUUUCGCAAUGGGCGAAAGCCUGACGAAGCAACGCCGCGUGGAGGAUGAAGGCCUUCGGU
rnacentral:rRNA from 1 species